rnacentral:rRNA from 1 species
UUGACGGGGAGCACCACAACGGGUGGGGCUUGGCGGUUUAAUUGGAUUCAACGCCGGAAAUCUUACCGGGACCGACAGCAAUAUGAAGGCCAGGCUGAAGACUUUGCCGGAUUAGCUGAGAGGUGGUGCAUGGCCGUCGUCAGUUCGUACUGUGAAGCAUCCUGUUAAGUCAGGCAACGAGCGAGACCCACGCCCACAGUUGCCAGCGUACUCUCUGGAGUGACGGGUACACUGUGGGACCGCCGCUGCUAAAGCGGAGGAAGGAAUGGGCAACGGUAGGUCAGUAUGCCCCGAAUAUCCCGGGCUACACGUGAGCUACAAUGGUUGGUACAAUGGGUAUCUACCCCGAAAGGGGACGGGAAUCUCCUAAAACCAAUCUUAGUUCGGAUUGAGGGCUGCAACUCGCCCUCAUGAAGCUGGAAUCCGUAGUAAUCGCGUUUCAACAGAACGCGGUGAAUACGUCCCUGCUCCUU